UUUCAUUGGCUGUAGACAAGAGUGCGAUUACAGCUCAGAAAAGGUGCGAUUAAUGCUCAAAUCGCACUCCUGUAAACCAAUGAAAUUGCAGUAUUUGCCACUGAUUACAGAAGAUAAAUAAUUAAUGAAAUAAUUGCACUCCUCUUAACCAAUCAGAUUGCAGUAAUUUUGUCAUGUAUAUAAUAAAUACCGAAACAACAGCGAAAAAAACAUAUUCAUUGAGAAUAUAAAUUGUUCAGAAAAGUUUGCAACGAAAGACAAAUUAAUUUGCAGUCAACAAGCACUUACUAUACUACCAAGCAUCUGUAUAAUAUAUCUUAGCUUUUUUGUGAGAUAUACCGGUUCUAAAACCAUUUCUUUCACUUCGUCUUCGAGUGGUAAAACAAAAGUAUUUCAUACAUGUUCAAGGCCAAGCGGUUUUUGGCCGAACAAAUUGUCGAGACAUUGUAACAGAG